AGUUCUAUUUUGUAGUCAUUCCUUUGUAUCACUAACCAAGAGAGAUCUCAACUUUAACCAACUUCCAAUAUGAAACUGUUCCUUCUCAUCGCUGCUUCUCUACUCGUCCUGUCCACUGUCACUGUAGAAACCGAAGCCAGAGAAAUUGUUGCUGAGGGAGCUGAGGCCGACUCUGUAGAGAUGGAAUCAAUGGAGGAAGAUAGCUUUGUCUUCAGGAAAGAAGAAGAAUCUGCAUUCCUGUUCGCCGACUAAAUCAAA